ACUGUCCAAUCGAUCCAGACCACCCUGAUGCCCCUACCAAUGGCGCCAUCACCUCAUCAAGCCACCCUGAUUCCACCAUCAGCAGUCCCACAACCAAAUCUAGUGCCGCAGGCAGCUGCAUCACCAUCCGAAUAGCCAUCAGUCACUCCACAGAGUCCUAAGAGAAGGCAGACCCACCAGGGCUGCCCCAAGAGUCGAGAACUAGGGCAGUGGUGAUCUCAAAGUCUCUGAUCGAGAUAUGACUCGACCCCC
rnacentral:lncRNA from 1 species